rnacentral:lncRNA from 1 species
GAUAACAUUCUGAAGUUUUCUUUACUUUAAAGAGGCACUUUAAUUAUGCCUUAAUUCUAAUCGUUUUACAUAUAGUUCUAUAAUUGAAAAUAGAUUUUCGAAAAGGAUGGAGUCCCCCUCACAUGCUUCUGCAACUAUUUACUUAACAUUCUGCUCAACAAACGGUCACACUGCUGUUAUAAUCCUAAUUGCUUACUAAGAACUUAAUAGUCCAACUGACGGCUCAACCAACUGAUUCUCCAGGACCUCAAAUACUUUCCAUCAGUAGCAUGCGACACAUGAUGAGUCCUGCUGAACCGGGAGGCUGGUCACCUCAACUAUUUCGACUAAAGAACUUGGAACAAAUAGAGAAGAUGGAAGAGGAAAUGAAUGAUCCCAUCAAAUCAUUGAUUUAAAUUCAAACCAUGCGAAACAUUUUGAAACCCGGUGGUUCGGUGGGUCACCCCGACCUGGAGGUUUCAAAAAACAAUUUCAUCUUAUACUCGCCCUAGACUUUUUGGUUGAUUUCAAUUUUGACGGCAUCCACAAUAAAAUACAUCUCAAGGAGUUUGGAAAUUUCAACAACGCUUUGUUUAUAGCACAUACAUAUACAUAUAUGACUUCUUUUUUAAAUUAAAAUUCAUUAAAUUUCAGAAGCUCAAAAGCAGGUAGAAUAUUUUAGAGAUGACUACGUCGCUGAAAUCAGACUGGCGUUCCGAGUUUACAAAAAUCUCAGGCAUAAAAGUGCAUCAGAUACUCGGAAAAAAAUUAAAGAAGCCAC